GACGAACGCUGGCGGCGUGCUUAACACAUGCAAGUCGAACGGAAAGGCCCUGCUUUUGUGGGGUGCUCGAGUGGCGAACGGGUGAGUAACACGUGAGUAACCUGCCCUUGACUUUGUGAUAACUUCAGGAAACUGGGGCUAAUACCGGAUAGGAUCUCCUGCUGCAUGGUGGGGGUUGGAAAGUUUCGGCGGUUGGGGAUGGACUCGCGGCUUAUCAGCUUGUUUGUGGGGUAGUGGCUUACCAAGGCUUUGACGGGUAGCCGGCCUGAGAGGGUGACCGGCCACAUUGGGACUGAGAUACGGCCCAGAAUCCUACGGGAGGCAGCAGUGGGGAAUAUUGCACAAUGGGCGGAAGCCUGAUGCAGCAACGCCGCGUGCGGGAUGACGGCCUUCGGGUUGUAAACCGCUUUCGCCUGUGACGAAGCGUGAGUGACGGUAAUGGGUAAAGAAGCACCGGCUAACUACGUG
rnacentral:rRNA from 1 species